UACAGAGGUCCCGAGCGUUGUUCGGAUUCACUGGGCGUAAAGGGUGCGUAGGUGGUGAGGAAAGUCGGGAUGUGAAAUCUCCAAGCUCAACUUGGAAAUGGCAUUGGAAACUACCUUGCUGGAGGUUUGGAGGGGGGACUGGAAUACUUGGUGUAGCAGUGAAAUGCGUAGAUAUCAAGUGGAACACCAGUGGCGAAGGCGAGUCCCUGGACAACACCUGACACUGAGGCACGAAAGCUAGGGGAGCAAACAGG
rnacentral:rRNA from 1 species